GCGAAGUGGCGGCGUGCUUAACACAUGCAAGUCGCACGGGGUAGCAAUACCCAGUGGCGAACGGGUGCGUAACACGUGAGGAACCUGUCCAACGGCGGGGGAUAGCCGGCCCAACGGCCGGGUAAUACCGCGUACGACCUUCGAGGGGCAUCCCUUGAUGGUGAAAGCAGCAAUGCGCCGAUGGAGGGCCUCGCGGCCUAUCAGCUAGUUGGUGAGGUAAUGGCUCACCAAGGCGACGACGGGUAGCUGGUCCGAGAGGAUGACCAGCCACAUUGGGACUGAGACACGGCCCAGACUCCUACGGGAGGCAGCAGUGGGGAAUAUUGCGCAAUGGGCGAAAGCCUGACGCAGCGACGCCGCGUGUGGGAUGACGGCCUUCGGGUUGUAAACCACUGUCGGGAGGGACCAAUUCAUGACGGUACCUCCAAAGGAAGCACCGGCUAACUCUGUGCCAGCAGCCCGCGGUAAUACAGAGGGUGCGAGCGUUGUCCGGAAUUACUGGGCGUAAAGGGCCGCGUAGGCGGCUUGGGUAAGUCGGGGGUUGAAAAGUUAAGCGGUUCAAACCCGCUGGACUGCCUUCGAAACUGCCU
rnacentral:rRNA from 1 species